rnacentral:snRNA from 1 species
GUGCUCACUUCAGCAGCACUUAUACUAAAAUUGGAAGGAUAAAGAGAAAAUUAGCAUGGCCCUGUGCAAGGAUGACACACAAAUUUUUGAAGGCUUUCAUAUUUUU